UACAGAGGUGGCAAGCGUUGUUCGGAAUUACUGGGCGUAAAGGGCGCGUAGGCGGUCUUUUAAGUUCCGUGUGAAAUCCCUCGGCUCAACUGGGGAACUGCACGGGAAACUGGAAGGCUUGAGUUCGGGAGAGGGAAGCGGAAUUCCGGGUGUAGCGGUGAAAUGCGUAGAUAUCCGGAGGAACACCGGUGGCGAAGGCGGCUUCCUGGACCGACACUGACGCUGAGGCGCGAAAGCUA
rnacentral:rRNA from 1 species